GAAUUCGCCCUUAGAGUUUGAUCCUGGCUCAGGACGAACGCUGGCGGCGUGCCUAACACAUGCAAGUCGAGCGGGGAUAUGGAGGAGCUUGCUCCGAGAUAUUCUAGCGGCGGACGGGUGAGUAACGCGUGAGCAACCUGCCUCAAACAGGGGGAUAACGCAUCGAAAGAUGUGCUAAUACCGCGUAAGACCACGGUGUCGCAUGACACAGAGGUCAAAGGAGCAAUCCGGUUUGAGAUGGGCUCGCGUCCGAUUAGCUAGUUGGUGAGAUAACAGCCCACCAAGGCGACGAUCGGUAGCCGACCUGAGAGGGUGAUCGGCCACAUUGGAACUGAGAAACGGUCCAGACUCCUACGGGAGGCAGCAGUGGGGAAUAUUGGGCAAUGGGCGAAAGCCUGACCCAGCAACGCCGCGUGAGGGAAGAAGGGUUUCGGCUCGUAAACCUCUGUCCUAUGGGACGAAGAGAGUGACGGUACCAUAGGAGGAAGCCCCGGCUAACUACGUGCCAGCAGCCGCGGUAAUACGUAGGUUGCAAGCGUUGUCCGGAUUUACUGGGUGUAAAGGGCGUGUAGGCGGAGAUGCAAGUCAGGAGUGAAAUUCCGGGGCUCAACCCCGGAACUGCUUUUGAAACUGUAUCCCUUGAGUGUCGGAGAGGCAAGCGGAAUUCCUAGUGUAGCGGUGAAAUGCGUAGAUAUUAGGAGGAACACCAGUGGCGAAGGCGGCUUGCUGGACGAUAACUGACGCUGAGGCGCGAAAGCGUGGGGAGCAAACAGGAUUAGAUACCCUGGUAGUCCACGCUGUAAACGAUGAAUACUAGGUGUGGGAGGACUGACCCCUUCCGUGCCGCAGUUAACACAAUAAGUAUUCCACCUGGGGAGUACGACCGCAAGGUUGAAACUCAAAGGAAUUGACGGGGGCCCGCACAAGCAGUGGAUUAUGUGGUUUAAUUCGACGCAACGCGAAGAACCUUACCAGGAUUUGACAUCCAACUAACGAAGUAGAGAUACAUUAGGUGCCCUUCGGGGAAAGUUGAGACAGGUGGUGCAUGGUUGUCGUCAGCUCGUGUCGUGAGAUGUUGGGUUAAGUCCCGCAACGAGCGCAACCCCUAUUGUUAGUUGCUACGCAAGAGCACUCUAGCGAGACUGCCGUUGACAAAACGGAGGAAGGCGGGGACGACGUCAAAUCAUCAUGCCCCUUAUGUCCUGGGCUACACACGUAAUACAAUGGUGGUUAACAGAGGGAAGCAAUAGAGCGAUCUGGAGCAAAUCCCUAAAAGCCAUCUCAGUUCGGAUUGCAGGCUGCAACUCGCCUGCAUGAAGCUGGAAUUGCUAGUAAUCGCGGAUCAGCAUGCCGCGGUGAAUACGUUCCCGGGCCUUGCACACACCGCCCGUCA
rnacentral:rRNA from 1 species